GAAUACUAAAAUACUAAGCCUAAAUGCAAUUAAAAAAAAUUAAAAUAAAGUCCCGAAAUUGGGUACAAUGACCAAAAUGCCCGCAAACUCUUUUAUGCAAAUGACAAACUUGUCCUUUCCUAAGGAGCCCACCACCAUUGUCAAACUCCGAGAGCUCUUUCUGGGUACUUGCAGCGUGAGUUCGGUCGAUCUUUUUUUAUAUUCUUGACGUUCAUUCUCUUAUGAUCGUUUUGAUCCCUUUUGAUCAUGUUGUGGCAAUCUCUUUCGUGAGGGAAGGAGUUCGGUUAGUUUUAUGAACUCUUCGAUGGUGUCUUUUCUGAUUUGGGGUGUAUCUGUGUUAAUUGCGAGCCAGGGAAAGGUCUUUCUAGUGCUUUUGCAACAUGUUUAAUUUGCUUUUUGGUCUUUGCUCUAUGAUAUUCUUCGGGUUUUCGAGAAAUCACCAGAAAAGGGAUUUCCGGUGACGGGGAUUAUGUUUUCUUUCGUGACCUUGGUUUUUGUGCCUUUUCUAUUUGUUUUGAAUGUCGCUUGUAGUGUUGACUUGGGUUUCUUCGAGGAAGUGUUCUUUUUUGUCUUAGUUCCUGUGCGGCCAAGUUUUCUAUGAGGGCUACAACGUCCUUCUGAAGAUUCUGACAUCCAUGAAUUCAAGUCGUCUUUCUUCCUUCGCAGGGGAGACUUGUCUUCACGUUAGCUCGUUUAGGGGGUCGGUGUCGUUGAGGCUUUUGCCGACAUCUGAGUGUUUAUGAUGAAAAUCAGACAGGUCUUCCGAUGAAGAUCUCUUGAUUUUAACCCUUAAACUAAAUGAAAAUGUAGGAAAUAAAAUGGUAAAGAAAGUGGGAUAAAUUGAAUUCAGAUCUGAGGCUAGAUUUGCCUGAAAACGAGCAAAUCUGUUCUCAGAUCUGUGGCAGGGCCAGCAUGAUCCAGAGCACCCAAAAUACAAUUUUAAAUAAAAUUAAUCAUACAGAUAAAAAUAAAAUUAAAAUAAUAAAAUAAGAAUAAACAGAAAGAUAUGAUACUGAAUUGGGCCGAAUGGCCCGGAACUCUCGAGCCUUUUGGGGCUCGCCCAUAUCAGAACCGGUCCUCUUUUGUCUCUCUGAGUCGGAUGUUUAUCAGCAAAUCUCUUCAGUGUGAAGGCUUUGAUUUGGGAUUUUUUGUCCUACGGGUAGAUCUGGUCUUGUGUCCUAAGGGCAGAUCUGGGGUUUCUCUCAAGGGGCUGUGGCUUUCUAGAGCAAUUUUCAGGGUUUUUUCUUGUAUAGCUCCUUUAGGUUUUUCAUCUCUAUCUCUUCUAUCUUUUUGUUUCUCUGCAGGGUUUCUGAUCUCUACCUCUC
rnacentral:lncRNA from 1 species